rnacentral:rRNA from 1 species
GUGGGGAAUAUUGGACAAUGGGCGCAAGCCUGAUCCAGCCAUGCCGCGUGAGUGAUGAAGGCCUUAGGGUUGUAAAGCUCUUUCACCGAUGAAGAUAAUGACGGUAGUCGGAGAAGAAGCCCCGGCUAACUUCGUGCCAGCAGCCGCGGUAAUACGAAGGGGGCUAGCGUUGUUCGGAUUUACUGGGCGUAAAGCGCACGUAGGCGGUUUGUUAAGUCAGGGGUGAAAUCCCGGAGCUCAACUCCGGAACUGCCUUUGAUACUGGCAAGCUAGAGUCCGGAAGAGGUAAGUGGAACUCCUAGUGUAGAGGUGGAAUUCGUAGAUAUUAGGAAGAACACCAGUGGCGAAGGCGGCUCACUGGUCCGGUACUGACGCUGAGGUGCGAAAGCGUGGGGAGCAAACAGGAUUAGAAACCCUGGUAGUCC